rnacentral:misc_RNA from 1 species
GAUGAAGAACGUAGCGAAAUGCGAUACGUAAUGUGAAUUGCAAAUUCAGUGAAUCAUCGAGUCUUUGAACGCACAUUGCGCCCCCUGGUAUUCCGGGGGGCAUGCCUGUCCGAGCGUCAUUGCUGCCCUCAAGCACGGCUUGUGUGUUGGGCCCCGUCCUCCGAUCCCGGGGGACGGGCCCGAAAGGCAGCGGCGGCACCGCGUCCGGUCCUCGAGCGUAUGGGGCUUUGUCACCCGCUCUGUAGGCCCGGCCGGCGCUUGCCGAUCAACCCAAAUUUUUUAUCCAGGUUGACCUCGGAUCAGGUAGGGAUACCCGCUGAACUUAGGCAUAUCAAUAAGCGGAGGA